rnacentral:rRNA from 1 species
AUUGGUGCUUGCACCUUUAAAAUUUUAGCGGCGGACGGGUGAGUAACACGUGGGUAACCUACCUUAUAGAUUGGGAUAACUCCGGGAAACCGGGGCUAAUACCGAAUAAUACUUUUUAACACAUGUUUGAAAGUUGAAAGACGGUUUCGGCUGUCACUAUAACAUGGACCCGCGGCGCAUUAGCUAGUUGGUGAGGUAACGGCUCACCAAGGCAACUAUGCGUAGCCGACCAGAAAGGGUGAUCGGCCACACUGG